AACGAACGCUGGCGGCAUGCCUAACACAUGCAAGUCGAACGAGAUACUCGGGUCUAGUGGCGCACGGGUGCGGAACGCGUGGGAAUCUGCCCUUUGGUUCGGAAUAACAGUUGGAAACGACUGCUAAUACCGGAUGAUGACGCAAGUCCAAAGAUUUAUCGCCAGAGGAUGAGCCCGCGUAGGAUUAGCUAGUUGGUGGGGUAAAGGCGCACCAAGGCGACGAUCCUUAGCUGGGCGGAGAGGCUGACCAGCCAAACUGGGACUGAGACACGGCCCAGACUCCUACGGGAGGCAGCAGUGGGGAAUAUUGGACAAUGGGCGAAAGCCUGAUCCAGCAAUGCCGCGUGAGUGAUGAAGGCCUUAGGGUUGUAAAGCUCUUUUACCCGGGAUGAUAAUGACAGUACCGGGAGAAUAAGCUCCGGCUAACUCCGUGCCAGCCGCCGCCGUAA
rnacentral:rRNA from 1 species